rnacentral:sRNA from 1 species
GGAUCAUUAUUGAAUAAACUUGAUGUGGUUGAGCUGACUCUUUCGGGAGUAUGUGCUCGCUCGUCAUCUUUAUCUUUCCACCUGUGCACUUUUUGUAGAUUUGGAUGUAACUGUCCGAGGCAACUCGGUUGGGAGGAAUGCUAUCUUUGAUGGCUUUCCUUGUAUGUCCAAGUCUAUGUCUUCAUAUACUCCAAGUAUGUAACAGAAUGUAUCACUGGGCCUUGUGCCUAUAAACUAUAUACAACUUUCAGCAACGGAUCUCUUGGCUCUCGCAUCGAUGAAGAACGCAGCGAAAUGCGAUAAGUAAUGUGAAUUGCAGAAUUCAGUGAAUCAUCGAAUCUUUGAACGCACCUUGCGCCCCUUGGUAUUCCGAGGGGCAUGCCUGUUUGAGUGUCAUUAAAUUCUCAACCUUACUAGCUUUUGCGAAGUAAUGGCUUGGACUUGGGGGUCUUUUGCUGGUUUCGAAAGAGAUCGGCUCCCCUUAAAUGUAUUAGCCGGUGCCCCGCGUGGACUGUCUAUUGGUGUGAUAAUUAUCUACGCCGUUAGAUGUCUGCUAUUAAAUGGGAUGUGCUGCUUCUAAUCGUCCUCAGGACAAUUAUUGACCAUUUGACCUCAAAUCAGGUAGGACUACCCGCUGAACUUAAGCAUAUCAAUAAGCGGAGG